UACGUAGGGUGCAAGCGUUGUCCGGAAUUAUUGGGCGUAAAGAGCUCGUAGGCGGUUUGUCGCGUCGGCUGUGAAAACCUGAGGCUCAACCUCAGGCCUGCAGUCGAUACGGGCAGACUAGAGUCCGGCAGGGGAGACUGGAAUUCCUGGUGUAGCGGUGAAAUGCGUAGAGAUCGGGAAGAACAUCGGUGGCGAAGGCGCUCUACUGGACCACAACUGACACUCAGGGACGAAAGCUAGGGGAGCGAAUGGG
rnacentral:rRNA from 1 species